AUGAACAAAAUCACCUGGUUAUGUGUUUUUGGACUGGUCAUAGCGGCUACACUUCCCACUAGUUGGCAAAUGGCUAUUGAAUCACGGUUGGUUUCUGAAGAGGAAAAUGGAGCUGAACACUUCCUUGCCAAAGCUAAGCGACACAAUGAAGGAACAUAUGGCAGUGACUACACUGAACUCAUGGACAGGGAGAAAGCAAGGGAAUUUGUGCAAUGGCUUAUUAAUCAAGGGUAUGAUGCAAUUAUCUACUGUUGGUGGCCAUGUAUAAAAUGUCAAUGUCUCUUCUAAGCAGGAUGAAGAGUGUAGUAAAAAACCAAAACAUCAAAGCUAUGUAACCAGAGCAUAAUCUUCCAGAUUUGAAAUAGUUCACAAUAGCUUCAACAAUAUCCCUAGAUUUUCUGGAUAUGGCAGGGAAAACAAUCAAUUAAAAUGUUUCUGUUACUCCAGGAUCUUUUAGCUGUCAUGCUCAGAGAAAGGCAGAAGUAUGAAUGAACACAGGCAGCUCAUGGCAAGGGGUAGGAGGAGGAGCUCUCUUGGUUUGGGGGUGACUUCCCACUACCCUGAGUGUUUUGUGUUUUUUUGCUCAUAUGAGAGCUGGCUUCCAAGGGGAAAGGGAGGUGAUUCACAGUGCAGAAGUAUGCCUCUUUGGUGAAGCAUAGUCUCCAAACCCCGCGCAGUACCAGUUCCUGUCUAUUUGGCACUGGUUUGUUCUGAAGAGGGCAACAAGAAUGAUCAGGCGACUGGAAACCAAGCCUUUAUGAGGAAAGGCUGAAAGAACUGGCCAUGUUUAGCCUCGAGGAAAGAAGACUGAGGGGAGAGAGGAUAGCACUUUUCAAAUAUUUGGAAGGCUGUCAUACAGAGGAGGGGCAGGAUCUGUUCUCGACCAUCCCAAAGUGCAGGACACGCAACAGUGGGCUCAGGUUGCAGGAAGCCAGAGUUAGGCUGAAUAUCAGGAAAAACUUCCUAACUGUUAGAGCAGUAUGAGAAUGAAACCAAUUACUUUGGGAGGUGGUGAGUGCUCCAACCCUGGAGGCAGUCAAGAGAAAUUUCGACUACCAUUUGACAGAUAUUCUCUAAUUUGUAUUACUGCAUUGAGAAGGAAGUUGGAUUCAUUGACCUUAUAGGCUCCUUCCAACUUCAUUAUUCUAUGUUUCUAUGAACCCUUUACCUCAGGUGCUUCAAUUGUCACUCGCCAAUAUUUUUUUUUACCCUGGAGAAGGGACAGGAAGCCAAGAAAGUAUGCCACUAGCCACAUGGAGCAAAGAAGAGGGAUAAUGUUCAACCAAGUUGCUUCCAACUAAUUUUUCUUUCUUUUCUUCUUUUUAAAGCGCUACAGUUCCUCCAGGUUUAGUUUGAACUCUGGAGCAGACGUUGUCUGAGCUUUGAUGGCCACCUUCAACAAACAGCAAGAGUUUCCUUUUCUUUAGUCCAAAUUGGAAAAUGAUAAAUACUUAAGUGAUAAAUAAAAUGAGGCCAUCAAAACA
rnacentral:lncRNA from 1 species